UCGCUUUGGUAGCACAUAUACCAAAAUUAGAACAACACAGAGAAAAUUAGCAUAGCCCUUGCACAAAGAUGACCUGAAAAUUUGUGAAGCAGUCCAUAUUUUU